AGGCCAGUAGCUCCAAUUGGUAGAGCGACGGUCUCCAAAACCGUAUGUUGCAGGUUCGAGUCCUGCCUGGCCUG
rnacentral:tRNA from 1 species